GAUGAACGCUGGCGGCGUGCCUAAUACAUGCAAGUCAUACGGACGAGCUUGCUCGUCAGUGGCGAACGGCUGAGUAACGCGUAGGUGACCUGCCCCGAAGUGGGGGAUAACUGCCCGAAAGGGUGGCUAAUACCGCAUGUGGCGACGUGUUCAUUCACGUCAUCAAAGCCGCGAGGCGCUUCGGGAGGGGCCUGCGUCCGAUUAGCUCGUUGGUGGGGUAACGGCUCACCAAGGCGACGAUCGGUAGGUGGUCUGAGAGGACGAUCACCCAGACUGGGACUGAGACACGGCCCAGACACCUACGGGAGGCUG
rnacentral:rRNA from 1 species